UCCCUGGUGGCCCAGUGGUUAGGACUCUACUCUGUCACUGUAGAGGGCCCAGUUUCAAUCCCUGGUCAGGGAA